GGCUGGCUGAAUCUCCCAGCCGAACAAGGCGUAAAACGCCAGUUCUGCUUCUGAGAAUUCAUGACAGAUAAAGCUAAAACUUAUCUGAGCCAUUU